rnacentral:rRNA from 1 species
AACGAACGCUGGCGGCAUGCCUAACACAUGCAAGUCGAACGAGACCUUCGGGGCAAGUGGCGCACGGGGGCGUAAAGGGGGGGGACCUGCCCUUAGGCGUGGACUAACUCGCCGAAAGGGGUGCUAAUAGCGGCUCAUGUCUUCGGACCAAAGGUUUAUCGCAUUUGGGUGGGCCUGCGUGGGCUUAGCUGGUGGGUAGGGUAAAAGCGUACCAAGGCGACGAUCGAUAGCUGGGCUGAGAGGAUGAUCAGCGACACUGGGGCUAGGAAACGGCCCAGAAUCUUACACGAUGCAGCAGUGCGUGAUCUUGGAAAACGGCGGGAAGCAUGAUCGAGCACUGCUGCGUGAGUGAUGAAGUCCGGAGGGAAGUAAAUCUCUUUUACCCGUGAUGAUCAUGACAGUACCGUGAGAAUAAGCUCCGGCUAACUCCGUG